UACGGAGGGUGCGAGCGUUGUCCGGAAUCAUUGGGCGUAAAGGGCGCGUAGGUGGCCUGUUAAGCGUGCGGUGAAAGCUCGGGGCUCAACCCCGAGUCGGCCGUGCGAACUGGUGGGCUUGAGCACUGUAGAGGCAGGCGGAAUUCCGGGUGUAGCGGUGGAAUGCGUAGAGAUCCGGAAGAACACCGGUGGCGAAGGCGGCCUGCUGGGCAGUAGCUGACACUGAGGCGCGACAGCGUGGGGAGCAAACAGG
rnacentral:rRNA from 1 species